UAGAACCUCUAUUUUUACAUUAUUUUUUUAAUUAAUAUUAUUUCAUAAAAUUAGAACCCAUUUAUUUGUUCUCCUAAGCCCUAACCUCGUCUUUCCCCUUUGAGCGUACCCAUCUGAGAAUGCCAGAACCUCCAUUGUCGUUGCCACUAUCCGCCGUCGACCUCCGUCGCAUCUGCCAAUAUCCCGCCGUCAACCUCCGUCAACACCAGCAGAACCUCAAUUUUCUUUUUCAUCCACCUAUAAACUUUAUCUCCUCCACCAGAAACAACAACCAUUCAAUUAAUCAAAGCUCCAUGGUUUCAAAUAGUCCCAAAAUUCUAGGGGUUUUUUCUCAAUUAAGCUCGACUACAACUUCUUGUUUUCACUGAGCCUUAAUUCUAGAUUCCAUUAGCGAGGAUAAAAAUGCAACUGAUAGCCGUGGGAUAAAUAAUUGUGGAGUAGAUCAAGAAAUGGAAGAUGAAGGCAGUGAAGAACUAGACCUUACUUGAGAUGAAUUUUGAAUUGCUAUAGAUGAAUGUUCUAGGAAUCUUUUGUUAUCAACAUUUUUUAUACUUACUCUCUUGAAAUGUAUUAAACUUAUGCACUUGGGGUAGAACAUUUGCUUUAUGGAUAUUAUUUGCUUGAUGGAUAAUUUAUAUUAUUAAUAGUUUCAUUUUA